rnacentral:rRNA from 1 species
GUCGAACGAAGCUUGACGAAUGAUUUCUUCGGAAUGAAAUCUGAUAUGACUGAGUGGCGGACGGGUGAGUAACGCGUGAGCAACCUGCCCUUCGGAGGGGGAUAGUGUCUGGAAACGGACAGUAAUACCGCAUAACGUAUUUUUACCGCAUGAUAGAAAUACCAAAACUGAGGUGCCGAAGGAUGGGCUCGCGUUGGAUUAGAUAGUUGGUGGGGUAACGGCCUACCAAGUCGACGAUCCAUAGCCGGACUGAGAGGUUGAACGGCCACAUUGGGACUGAGACACGGCCCAGACUCCUACGGGAGGCAGCAGUGGGGAAUAUUGCACAAUGGGGGAAACCCUGAUGCAGCAACGCCGCGUGAAGGAAGACGGUUUUCGGAUUGUAAACUUCUGUUCUUAGUGAAGAAGAAUGACGGUAGCUAAGGAGCAAGCCACGGCUAACUACGUGCCAGCAGCCGCGGUAAUACGUAGGUGGCAAGCGUUGUCCGGAAUUACUGGGUGUAAAGGGAGCGCAGGCGGGAAGCCAAGUCAGCUGUGAAAACUACGGGCUUAACUUGUAGACUGCAGUUGAAACUGGUUUUCUUGAGUGAAGUAGAGGUUGGCGGAAUUCCGAGUGUAGCGGUGAAAUGCGUAGAUAUUCGGAGGAACACCGGUGGCGAAGGCGGCCAACUGGGCUUUAACUGACGCUGAGGCUCGAAAGUGUGGGG